rnacentral:rRNA from 1 species
UGGGGAAUUUUGGACAAUGGGCGCAAGCCUGAUCCAGCAAUGCCGCGUGAGUGAAGAAGGCCUUCGGGUUGUAAAGCUCUUUUGUCAGGGAAGAAACGGUUGUUCCUAAUACGGAUGACUAAUGACGGUACCUGAAGAAUAAGCACCGGCUAACUACGUGCCAGCAGCCGCGGUAAUACGUAGGGUGCAAGCGUUAAUCGGAAUUACUGGGCGUAAAGCGUGCGCAGGCGGUUAUAUAAGUCAGAUGUGAAAUCCCCGGGCUCAACCUGGGAACUGCAUUUGAGACUGUAUGGCUAGAGUGUGUCAGAGGGGGGUAGAAUUCCACGUGUAGCAGUGAAAUGCGUAGAUAUGUGGAGGAAUACCGAUGGCGAAGGCAGCCCCCUGGGAUAACACUGACGCUCAUGCACGAAAGCGUGGGGAGCAAACAGGAUUAGAUACCCUGGUAGUCCACGCCCUAAACGAUGUCUACUAGUUGUCGGGACUUAAUUGUCUUGGUAACGCAGCUAACGCGUGAAGUAGACCGCCUGGGGAGUACGGUCGCAAGAUUA